rnacentral:rRNA from 1 species
UACGUAGGAUGCAAGCGUUUGUCCGGAUUUACUGGGCGUAAAGCGCGCGCAGGCGGCACAUUAAGUAAGGUGUGAAAUAUCCCGGCUCAACCGGGAGGGUGCACUUUAGACUGAUGAGCUUGAGGUCGGUAGAGGGGGGUGGAAUUGCUGGUGUAGCGGUGAAAUGCGUAGAGAUCAGCAGGAACACCCGUGGCGAAGGCGGCCCCCUGGGCCGUACCUGACGCUGAGGCGCGAAGGCUAGGGGAGCGAACGGGAUUAGAUACCUUAGUCC